CUCAGAAGGUUUAGAAGAGCCUCAACUUCUUCAAGCAGAAGCAAUGGCAGGAGCUAUGAAUUUUUCUGAUUUUAAGUGUGAAAUUCCCGAACUGAAUGUUGAAAACUAUAAGGUGUGGAAGGACCGAAUUCUUCUUUAUUUAGGGUUGAUGGAUAUUAAUUAUGCUAUUCGGAAAAACGAACCACCUUCUAUUACAGAAACUAGCCUUCCAGAUGAUGUUGAUCGUUAUGAAAUGUGGGAAUGAUCCAAUCGUCUCAGUGUGAAGUUCAUAAUGACCAACAUCUCGACUAGUAUUCAUGGUUGUUUUGAUCGACAUAAUAAUGUCCGAGCAUUACUUAAGGCCAUUGAUGAACAUUUUGUACCAUUUGAUAAGGCACUUGUAAGCACCCUUAUUAUGGAGUUUUCAACUAUUAAGCUCAUCCAUAUGAAAGGUGUGUGUGAGCACAUUAUGCGAAUGAGUGAUAUUGCAGCACAACUAAAGACACUUGAGGUUGACAUGUCUGAAUCUUUCCUUAUUCAUUAUAUUUUGAAUACCCUUCCACCUCCGUAUGAACCACUAAAAAUUUCUUACAACACACAUAAAGAAAAAAUGGUCAAUUAAUGAACUCUUGACCCUGUGUGUUCAAAAAGAAGAAAGGUUUGCGGUGGAAAUGAAUGGGUAUAUUUUGAUGAAGAUAGUGGGAAAGGACAUGAUUUCGAACCAAGCCAAGGAAAAGGGGAAAGGUAAAAUACCUCCCGAUGGUGGAAUUAAGAAAAAGUCCAAGUGUUCAUUUUCUAAUAUGAAUGGACACAUAAAGAAGGAUUGUUCUGAAUUUCAGAAAUGGUUUGAAAAUAAAGGGUAUGACAAGCCUAAGGAAACCACUUCUAAUUGAGCAAUGCAUCUAUUCAGGAAUCAAGAUGCGUUCAUGUGGAGGUUGUUUGAACAUGCGAUUUAGCUUUAAGUAGUGGCUUUGUUUUAAAUUUGGAAAAGACAUUUUAUGUUCCUAGU